rnacentral:tRNA from 1 species
GGAGAGGUGGCCGAGUGGUCGAAGGCGCGCCCCUGCUAAGGGCGUAGGCGGGAAACUGCCUCGUGGGUUCGAAUCCCAUCCUCUCCGCCA